rnacentral:rRNA from 1 species
AGUGAACGCUGGCGGUAGGCCUAACACAUGCAAGUCGAACGGCAGCACAGUAAGAGCUUGCUCUUACGGGUGGCGAGUGGCGGACGGGUGAGGAAUACAUCGGAAUCUACUUUUUCGUGGGGGAUAACGUAGGGAAACUUACGCUAAUACCGCAUACGACCUACGGGAGGAAGCAGAGGAUAUUCGGACCUUGCGCGAUUGAAAGAGCCGAUGUCGGAUUAGCUAGUUGGCGGGGUAAAGGCCCACCAAGGCGACGAUCCGUAGCUGGUCUGAGAGGAUGAUCGGCCACACUGGAACUGAGACACGGUCCAGACUCCUACGGGAGGCAGCAGUGGGGAAUAUUGGACAAUGGGCGCAAGCCUGAUCCAGCCAUGCCGCGUGGGUGAAGAAGGCCUUCGGGUUGUAAAGCCCUUUUGUUGGGAAAGAAAAGCAGCAGGUUAAUCCCCCGCUGUUCUGGCGGUACCCAAAGAAUAAGCACCGGCUAACUUCGUG